GUAUGGGGCAUCCUAUAGGUGCAAAGUGGGGUGUAUUUUUGUAGGUGCAAAGGCUCCAAUAAUUGAUGCUUAAUGGAUUUUCUAAAGGGAGUCAAAUAACUAAAGGAAUAAGGAUUCCUAAUGCAAGUAGGAGUUGUAUUAAGUGGUUGUUUGAUUUUGAAUAGGAUUCAAAUCUUAUGCUUAUUUAAAGGAACCUUCCAUAAGGUCUCUAGGCAUUUCAACCAGGAGUCCCACACCCC
rnacentral:lncRNA from 1 species